rnacentral:rRNA from 1 species
AUACGGAGGGUCCAAGCGUUAUCCGGAUUCAUUGGGUUUAAAGGGUCCGCAGGCGGGAAAAUAAGUCAGUGGUGAAAGCCUACAGCUCAACUGUAGAACUGCCAUUGAUACUGUUUUUCUUGAGUAUAGAUGAAGUGGGCGGAAUAUAUCAUGUAGCGGUGAAAUGCAUAGAUAUGAUAUAGGACACCGAUUGCGAAGGCAGCUCACUAAACUAUUACUGACGCUCAGGGACGAAAGCGUGGGGAGCGAACAGGAUUAGAUACCCGAGUAGUCC